rnacentral:rRNA from 1 species
AGAAUCAACGCUGGCGGCGUGCCUAACACAUGCAAGUCGAACGAGAAAGUGGAGCAAUCCAUGAGUACAGUGGCGCACGGGUGAGUAACACGUGACUAACCUACCCUUGAGUGGGGGAUAACCUAGGGAAACCUGGGCUAAUACCGCAUAAUACCUUCGGGUCAAAGGAGCAAUUCGCUUUAGGAGGGGGUCGCGGCCGAUUAGUUAGUUGGCGGGGUAAUGGCCCACCAAGACUGUGAUCGGUA